CUCUAGUGCGCGGUCCGUCCCAGCACCAGCGGAGAGCAGAGGCCGGAGGAGAGGCAUGCGCUGGUGUGGGCCAGGCGAUGGCCCUGGAGGAGCCUCUGCGUGGAGCUUGGAGACGAGCCCUUCCUGCUUCUGCCUGGACCUUGGAGGGCACCCGCGGCUGAGGCCCAAGGCUGCGCUCUGAGCUCCAGGAGGGACACCGGCGUCAGCCCCAAGCUGGAAGCGGACCAGGGACCCGGCCGGAACUGCCGGACCCCAGGGCACAAGGCACCACAAGCCACAGAUCAAUAAACCCAAAGCGGAAAAUUCUGUCCCCACCUUGGCCCCCUCCCUUUCUCCCAUGGCCUGCUCCGUCCCCCUCCCUUGCCCUUCUCCUUCCAGAAGCUCCCUUCCAAGGAUGGCUGUGGAGCCCAGACUGCAGGGGGCUUACCGUGCCCACACCUGAGCCACCAAGGACAGGCAGCACCAGGAGCAGACCCCCUGAAUCACAGCCGUCUGUGGCGUGACUGAAUACACCCCAGCUUCCCUGGGCCUGGGGGUAGAGGGGCUCUGUGAGCUGAAGAAAACCAGGCCCUGGCACGGACCCUGAAAUGUGGAGGGCUGCACCAGCGACUCCUCUGCGCAGCCCUGGGAGUCUGAAGACACUCACCUCUGCAGGGCUGUCUCUGGCUGCGGCCUCAGUUCUGAGCGGGACGGGACCUCCUGGGCCACAGGCCGCAGCAGCUCACCUCGGAACUGGGAUCUCCAGUGGCUCUGGCUGGCUGUGGCUCGGGCUGUGGCUCCGCCUGGGGGGCGUCCUGGGUUCGGGGCUCAGCUGGGUGAGAUGCGGGGCCCUGGGUCUUGGAAUCCACCUCCUCCUCAGGGAGCUCCGCAGUGACUCUUCGGCCCCUGGGGGAAACACAAAAGGGUUCCUGAGUUGAGCACUUUUAAGACAAAUCUGCCCGCCAGCCAGAGCCCCCUCCCCCCCCCCCGGCUGUUCAGUGGGGAGGCCUGAAAGUCACCUGGCCAGGGUUUGGGUGGUAGUUUCCCUUCCUGUCACUCUGGCUACCUGGCUCCCUCUCUUUCAAAGUACAAGGGAAGGAGGAAGUGGCCUCCCAGCAGCCAAGCCUGAAAAGGUUGCUUGGCCAGGAAGCGGCAGGAGACCCCUGCUGGGUGGUCUGCCCCUUCCUGGCCAGUGUGGGCUUGUGCCUGGGCAUGGGGUGGGGGCUGCGCACAAAAGGCCUGCCUUGGGGGAUCAAAGCACACAAUAUGAUCCCCCCUCCCUCCAACACUUCCGCCUUGGGUGGAAGCAAGGAGGGGGCCAGGAACAAACCAAAGGGCACAGUUCUGUAUUCAGAAAGCCCCUGGAUGCUUGGAUGGGUACAGUGGGACAUGGGGCUUCCCUGGGGACAUGAAAUCUGUCCCCACAAACACCACACCUGGUGUAUGGAGGAGUCUGGGACCCAGGUGGAGGGGAGAGAAACUUCAUGUGCAGAAUUAUGCACUCCCCUGGGAAAUUGCCCUUGCCCCAGCACUCAGUUCUGUGGGCAGGAGAGGCAACAGGAGAAUGGAGCACGCUAGCAGGGGGAGAGAAGCUUCGCUCUUUUAAUCCUGUCCUGGGGUACAGGGUACAUUGUCCUUCCUCCUCCUCCUCCUCCUCCUCCUCCUCACUCCCCUUCCCAAAUACUUAGUAGGAUUCCUUGGUUAUGGUCAGGAGGUGUAGGGAGUGGGGAGGAGGGGGGAUGCUUUACUUUUAAAAUGGUAUAAAAAAAAAUACUGCUCCAAAA